rnacentral:lncRNA from 1 species
AUGGGUCAGCAUGAUACGGUACUGGUACCAUACCAUAAUAGUCUCCUAUCAAUACACAGUUUGGUACCAAGAUUUUUGUGAACCCUGGUUCCUAGGAUCACUGCUCCAAUUUAUCUUUUUUUUUUAGUCUAUUAAUAGAUUUAUAGUAUUGUAAAAUAGGCACUUUCAUGCUCAAUCAUUCUGCUCUUUAAUCUGAUCAUGAGUUCUAGGUAUGAUAGUUUCUUAGCUUUGUCUUUCCAUCUUAUCUACCCAGUUGACCAUAAAUCUUGCAUAUAAGUAAUAGUUUUAAGGGGUUUUGAUAUAAUGAACCUCUAUUUUGAAUAAAAUUUCAAAAUGAUCCUUAUUUUUCUUGGUCUCAUUUGAUUUAAUAGACAGGAAAGUACUGCCCAUCUACUUGACUAAUUACCUUGUUAGUUAUCAUACGAAGAUGAGUGGGAAAUACCCAGGAUACUUGUUAUCAUAUGAAAAUGGAGUGAUAAAUACCCACUAUUCUCUGAAGUUUAAUAAUGUAGGUCGGGUACUGUGAAUACUGGCAACCUGGCUGUAUUAGAUUAAGGUGCAUGUGUGGACGCAAAAUGGUUUCCCUAAUUGGGUUAUGAAAGCAAAAUUUGUGGGUGCCCACAUGUAAGAGAGCCUGGGGUGCAGACCACUAUGAUGAUUUCCAAUAGAACCUAUUCCAGGCCUCUUAUAUUCUAGAAAACAUUUGAGGUUCUAGUAAUGCAAUAAAUAGAACAAUAUAUAUAUUUUUUGAUUUUUACAUUUUUUGGAAUUGAAGACAAUGAAGAGGAAGCCUAUUUCAGUCUAGAAACUUGGCCUAGAAGAUAACUAGAAAGCUAAUUCAAAACUACAAUAACUAAAGGCAAGAUCUGAGCAAGAUAAUGAGAAAGUAAAAUAAGCUACCUAGUUUGAUUCUCAUUGAUUGAAUCUCUUGAUUCAACAGCGGCUACACCAUUCUUCACUUGGGCUUACCAUGUGUCCAUUGAUGUGCCAUCAGCUUUGCAGGGCUGUCUUUGAAGUUGCCUAGCAGAAGAAAGCCCAUUGAAUCGCACAAAGGUUGCUAUAUAGAUGCCCUACGGUGGGGGAAGUCCACCACCAAGAACACACAAGAAAGUUUCAAUAAUUUUAAUUCAAUUCACUGUGAUGCAAAAGAGAGCUGUACUGGGGUAUGUAUAUAGCUUUAAGGUCCUUACAUUGAUGGAGGCUAGUGGAAUCCCUUAGAACAUGAUUAAGACUUGAAAAAUUCCAAAUUAAGGCUUCUAGAUAAUAAGCCCUCACCUUAAGGGCACUUCAAAAAGAAAACACUAAUCUGACAGUGGCCUGUGUGCUGUCAGAUUGACCUAAUGGUAUCCUAACUACCAUCAGAUGACUUUCAAGUUGAUUAGGACUCAGAAGACCAAUUGGCGGCUGGUUUCUGUUGUCCAAAAUGUUCCAGCAGUGGGUUUACUAUCAUCAGAUAUGUCUGAUGAUAGGCCUCUGCCUUCGGAUUACAAACUCAGACUACACCCAGAUGACUCCCAAGUUGAUUAGGACUCAGAAGACCAAUUGGCGGCUGGUUUCUGUUGUUCAAAAUGUUCCAGCAGUGGGUUUACUAUCAUCAGAUAUGUCUGAUGAUAGGCCUCUGCCUUCGGAUUACAAACUCAGACUACACCAAGAGUAGUUCAAUUAUUCGGCCAUAACUUUUCUCGUUUGUCCUCCAAUUGAUGUGAUUCAAGUCACAUUGGAAAGCUUACUUAAUGAGGAAUCAGAUGGAAGUGGGUUAAUCCUGAAAUUCUGCAUGUACCAUUUUAGGUGAUUUUUUUUGAAGUUGCUACUACCCGUGGUGCAUCCUAACACUGCUAUAGUUUGAGCUUUUUAGGUACCUGAGUCAAAUUCCAUGAUAUGGUUAUUCUUGGACAUCAAAUAAGGCUCCCUAGGGGUCACCUAUUGUGUCUUUAUGUUGAUCAUUUGCCCUUGGCAUGAAUUUUAGUCGGGUAUUUUUUUGCCUGUGUCAUUUAGCCCAACUUUCCUUCUCCUGUCCACUUCCUCUUUUUCCCAUCUAUCCUUUCUCUUCCCCUCCUCCAUUAUAGGAAGCUUUAUCAACUCUUCCUACUUAGUUGAAAAAAUUAAAGAAAGGAAAUCCUACUUGUAGCUUGGUCUCCUUGUCUGCUAGGACCAUAAAUUUACUUGGUCAAGUUAUCGUGGUGGAGCAACGGAAUUGCUAGAUGAUGAUGGGCUUGAUGGCAGCAUGGUAAGGCAGUUGGACAUGAUGAAGGGGGGUUGCAAUGAGAUGAAAUUUCUAAAUAACAACAGUGGGGUGGUGACGAGGCUUAACAGUGGUGAUGGUGAGGUGAUGGGCUUGAUGGAUACAGGGGA